ensembl:lncRNA
GUUCACCUGUUCCCCAGUCACUUGUACGUUCACCUGUUCCCCAGUCCCUUGUACGUUCACCUGUUCCCCAGUCACCUGUAUGUUCACCUGUUCCCCAGUCACCUGUACGUUCACCUGUUCCCCAGUCCCUUGUAGGUUCACCUGUUCCCCAGUCACCUGUAUGUUCACCUGUUCCCCAGUUGUGUGUAGCCCUGUUAACCUUUUUAUAUCUGGAGAGAGAAAAAACUAUCUACCAACAUUCAUUUCUCUAGCUGUAACCUUUCAAAAUAAAGAAAGUGGCACACUCCAUGUAUAAACUCCUAGCAAUUUAAUGGUCAUUUACCAACGUUUCCGCAUCACUGUGCCUUCCUCAGGGUAAUGUCAUGAAAACUUGAACCAGGUUAUAAGCUAAUAUGCUGUAGAAAGAAUAUACAUUUAUAAGAUGUGCUCAUAAAGGAAAAUGUGUUCAUAAGAAGGCCCUGAGAUCAAAAUCAAUAUUCAGACCACUAGGAGUUAGAUAGUAAUCAAUAAAUCCUACCUGGAUUUAUGGAUUAUCAAAGAGAAGGAUGCAUUACACACAGAUUUAUACAGAAAGCCCACAGAUCACAAUACCUUGCUAUGUGCGCAUCCCCUUCCCCUCCAGAAUGGUCUACCAUUUAGCCAGUUAUGCAGGGUUAAACUAAUCGGAUAGUAUGCAUCCCCUUCCCCUCAAGAAUGGUCUACCAUUUAGCCAGUUAUGCAGGGUUAAACUAAUCGGAUAGUAUGCAUCCCCUUCCCCUCAAGAAUGGUCUACCAUUUAGCCAGUUAUGCAGGGUUAAACUAAUCGGAUAGUAUGCAUCCCCUUCCCCUCAAGAAUGGUCUACCAUUUAGCCAUUUAUGCAGGGUUAAACUAAUCGGAUAGUAUGCAUCCCCUUCCCCUCAAGAAUGGUCUACCAUUUAGCCAGUUAUGCAGGGUUAAACUAAUCGGAUAGUAUGCAUCCCCUUCCCUCAAGAAUGGUCUACCAUUUAGCCAGUUAUGCAGGGUUAAACUAAUCGGAUAGUAUGCAUCCCCUUCCCCUCAAGAAUGGUCUACCAUUUAGCCAGUUAUGCAGGGUUAAACUAAUCGGAUAGUAUGCAUCCCCUUCCCCUCAAGAAUGGUCUACCAUUUAGCCAGUUAUGCAGGGUUAGAUUUUGACAGCAAUGCUAAUAAAAAUGACAGAUACAUUUAAAAUGAGAGGCUACAAGUACAAAACUCUUAAUGCUGCAAUGAUGAAAAUAAAACCAAGAGAGGAAUUACUAAAAACUCAACCAAAGAAGAAAAACAACGCAACUGUCUUUUGCACUAAGUACACCAAGGGUUCGGAGAAAUUAUUUUUUAUUUAUUUUAUUUUUAUUUAACUAGGCAAGUCAGUGAAGAACGAAUUCUUAUUUUCAAUGACAGCCUAGGAACAGUGAGUUAACUGCCUUGUUCAGGGGCAGAACAACAGAUUGUGACCUUGUCAGCUCAGGAAUUCAAUCUUGCAACCUUUCGGUUACCAGUCCAACACUCUAACCACUAGGCUACCCUGCUGCCCCAAAUGAAAGCAACUCUGAAAAAUCACUGGCAUAUUCUGCAAUCAGACCAGAAAAUUGCACACCUCUUCAAGGUAUCCCCACUGGUGGUCUAUAAGUGUGGUCUCAAUAUUGGAGAUAGUUAGGUGAGAUCUGACAUGCCCCCUGAGCCCACUCAGACACUCUUGACACCUAUCCCAAAUGGGAACUACAAAUGUGGCUCAUGCACAUAGUGCAAUAGCACUAUAAAAACAUCCUUCAGACACCCAAAUACAGGUGGAAAGAUCCCUGUUAGAGGUAUCAUCUCAUGCAAGACAAAGGGAGUAAUCUAUCUCAUCACCUGUUCAUGUGGAAAAGCCUACGUAGGACAAACGAAAAGACAAUUAAAACAAAGCAUAGCUGAGCAGCUCAAUCAGGUGUAAGAACACUGACUAUCCAAUAGCAGCUCACUUUGUUGAAGCUAACCAUUCAAUCUCCUCCCUCAAAUACACAGGCAUUGAGCAUGUUCUCUACCAAGGAGAGGAGGUAACAUUGGGAUCCUACUACUACAACAGGAGGCUUACUGGAUAUCCUAUCUAAACACAUUGACCCCUAGUGGUUUGAAUAUUGACUUUGAUAUCAGGCCCUUCUGAACACAUUUUCCUUUAUGUUUCUAUAUGAUAACAAUAGCAUAGUAUAUUUAAUAUGCCAUAUACCAUUUUGAACAGUUUCACUAAUUCAUCUUAAUUAACUUAAUCAUUAUGAUUAUUGUCAUUGGUUGGACUAAUUGCACUGUUUGUCUACAUAACCUGGUUCAAGUAUUCAUGACAUUACCCUGUGGAAGGCAAAGUGAUGCCGAAACGUUGGUAAAUUACCAUUAAAUUGCUUUUAAUCUAGCUGUAACCCACCUAACACAGAACACCUACUGGUCACUGCUCAGCCUGCUAUCUCAUCAUUAUAAUGAUAAUAACAGACUAGGAUUGUGUUCAUAAUCUAUUUAUCUAGGCUGUACGUGGUGUAGGCAGCAGUGUUGAUAGUCUGUCUGUACAGAGGGUGGACUACAGUGUUGAUUGUAUGUCCACACAGUGUACAUUGCCAUUCAGGUUUCAAACUCCCACAGUGACUCAGCAGUCUGAGACACACACACACACACGCACACGCACACACACACACACACACACACACACACACACACACACACACACACACACACACACACACACACACACACACAGACCCUGUAUAGGCAAUAUUCUAGUCUCAGAUUGUUAAGAAACAAUGUCUCUCUUCGCUUUCAUACAGAGCAGAAGGCGUUUCUUUCUUCUUCUCUGUGGUAGCAUUUGGGCAUGGCAUUUGAAGAAUUUUUUAUAUUUUUUAUUUGAUUUAAAUGUAUUUGGAUACAUCUUCCGAUUCUAAAUCAACUAAUAUGGCAGCUUAAUGACUUUAAGUCAUGUGUACCAUUAUAAUAACAUUGUGCUACUGGUAGGAGUAGUAACACCAAUGACGGUAACAUCAAUAACAGAGGAUUUUCUUAAAUGGAGACCUGAUGAUAAAAUAUAAGGUUAUUAAAACCCUUCAAACCUUCAUUUACUAUUGAUAUGAUUAAUCAUUUUGCACACAAUGUAAUUUACCUUCAUUUAAAUUGACUAACACCAAUUACACUUUUUAUUAUCAAAUUAUCAAUGGAAUCUUCAAAUUGCGUGUCUUACACUGACAAUGAACCUAUGGGAUUUUAUUUGUAUCAACUUGACCUUUGGCCAGGUAGUUGAUCAGGAUUAAUCUCUCUCUUUCAGAGGCUACCCAACCAGCCAGUCAGGUUUCAAACUACCACAGUCACUCAAUGCACACACACACGCACACACACACACACACACACACGCACGCACACACACACACACACACACACACACACACACACACACAGUGGCGACCCAUCAUCCAGGUUUGUGGGGCUCUGUUUUUCGCCCCACCUGUUAACAAAAAAACAAGUAUGAUGAUGGCAUUAAUACAUGUCACAUUUCAGUUUGUAAACAAUGUAAAAAUAAUAUUAAUUGAGUUAAUAAAGCCGCAUACAACAAUGGUCUCUUUUUUUGCUUUCUUGCAUAAGGCAGCUCCAAAAUCUAGGUGUUUCAGCCUAGCUCAGUGCUUUCUGUGGUGGUGUGGCAGCCAGUGGAAACUAUGGAGGGUAGGGUUUGGUAAUAUUCUCUAGUUGCGACUUGAUUGGCUCAGUGUUCUGUCAUUCAUGGGGACACUACGUCACCGCAAAAUCUAUGAGGACAGCUCGAAAAUUCAAGCCCCUUGGGUUCUGCCAUAGAUUUACAUUAGAAGUGCCCAUCCAAGAAGGCUCAAGGUAAUAUCUCAUAAUAUCUACCUUAGUUUUGAUUGGACUGAUCAUAUUAACAUCAUAUUUCCAAAAUCUUAGCUAGCAAGCUAGACAAGUAGUCAUCAUCAUGAAUCAAGCUGACAAUCUACUGGCAAAUCCUUUUCAAUCCUUGUCAUAUGAAGAUAAAUUACAGAUAAAACGUAUCACUGCUCAUCGGCCAUUGGACAUAAUACUAAGUGUAUGUUGAUUAGUAAGCUGUUAGUAGCCCAUGUGCCUCACCCUAAUAAUUUGGUCUCUUUCCCCCUCAUAAUUUAGCCUACUGUUCUGACUUGGUGGUGCACCUGUAGCCUAUUGCCUGUUUUAGAGUAAUGUCAUCAUCAAAUGUUUUAUUUGUCUGCUUAUAUGCCCCCUUUAUUUAUCCUACGGUUCUGACUUAGUGUACAUGGAGAAUACUGUAAUAACGGCCCAUGUUCUGAAUUUUGUCACUGUACAUUUCAAAAGUGCUGAACAAAUAGCUAUAUUGACUACCUCCGUCCUAGCUCGCACAUUGUCUUAAUCGAAAUUACGGAUUGCCUCUUAUCCGCUCGUCGUUCCCAUAUGCCAUAGUUUGUACAUCUCAACUGUCAUUAGAAACUACAUUUAUUUAAGCAAGUCAGCCAUAUCAGCUAUGUUUUUUUUAAAGGCAGUAAAUGAGGCUGAAUGAACUGCCAGACAAGGCUCCGCUGAAAGCGAGGUGUAGCGGAUUCACUCCCUGGUGCUGAAAAGAAGCUCUGCUGUUGGAACAGCUUUAUGUAGCCCCUAACAGUUUGUGGGCACCGUUUGUCAUCGUUAUAGUGCAAUUAAUGUAUUGUUUAGUGUUGUGUUGUGUAGUGGCUUUGCUGGCAUGCAUCUAAAAAAAAUGGUUGAGUUUGCCCCAACAAGAUUUACAUGCUAAAAUCGCCACUGCACACACACAAACACACACCCACCGGGUACAGGCAAUAUUCCAGUCUCAGAUUGCUAAGAAAUAAUGGUUAUCUUCCCUUUCAUACAGGACAGAAGGUAAAGUGUUCCUCUGGGGUUCUGGCACAUUGUCUGAGGGGCGUGUCUCCUAUCUCAAUGUCCGCUCCAGUGAGAUCCAUCCAGGAGUGGCUGAUCCUGUGCAGUUCCCAGACAGACAUUAUGAAGGCAGUAGAGAGAAAGAGGAAAUACGAGUUCGGAGGCAAAGGGCCCACGUGUCUUUCUUGUCCCAAUGAACCUGUAGUUGUGUUCCUAGUCUAUAGAGAAACACUGAACCUCUGGUGGUGUUACUAGUUGUCUAUAGAGAAACACUGAACCUCUGGUGGUGUUACUAGUUGUCUAUAGAGAAAC